UACGUAGGGACCGAGCGUUGUCCGGAUUCAUUGGGCGUAAAGCGCGCGUAGGUGGCUCUAUAAGUCCGUUGUGAAAGUCAAAGGCUCAACCUUUGAAAGCCGAUGGAUACUGUAGAGCUAGAGUCCGGAAGAGGCGAGUGGAAUUCCUGGUGUAGCGGUGAAAUGCGUAGAUAUCUGGAGGAACACCGGUGGCGAAGGCGACAUCCUGGACCGGUAUUGACGCUGAGGCGCGAAAGCCAGGGGAGCAAAGCGGG
rnacentral:rRNA from 1 species